rnacentral:rRNA from 1 species
GACGAACGCUGGCGGCGUGCUUAACACAUGCAAGUCGAACGCUGAAGGCUCAGCUUGCUGGGCUGGAUGAGUGGCGAACGGGUGAGUAACACGUGAGUAACCUGCCCUCUUCUUUGGGAUAACGGUCGGAAACGGCUGCUAAUACCGGGUAUUCACUGUCCUUCGCAUGGGGGGUGGUGGAAAGGUUUUUUCUGGUGGGGGAUGGGCUCGCGGCCUAUCAGCUUGUUGGUGGGGUGAUGGCUUACCAAGGCUUUGACGGGUAACCGGCCUGAGAGGGUGACCGGUCACAUUGGGACUGAGAUACGGCCCAGACUCCUACGGGAGGCAGCAGUGGGGAAUAUUGCACAAUGGGCGAAAGCCUGAUGCAGCGACGCCGCGUGAGGGAUGAAGGCCUUCGGGUUGUAAACCUCUUUCGCUCAUGGUCAAGCCGCAACUCAAGGUUGUGGUGAGGGUAGUGGGUAAAGAAGCACCGGCUAACUACGUGCCAGCAGCCGCGGUAAUACGUAGGGUGCGAGCGUUGUCCGGAAUUAUUGGGCGUAAAGGGCUUGUAGGCGGUUUGUCGCGUCUGCCGUGAAAUCCUCUGGCUUAACUGGGGGCGUGCGGUGGGUACGGGCAGACUUGAGUGCGGUAGGGGAGACUGGAACUCCUGGUGUAGCGGUGGAAUGCGCAGAUAUCAGGAAGAACACCGGUGGCGAAGGCGGGUCUCUGGGCCGUUACUGACGCUGAGGAGCGAAAGCGUGGGGAGCGAACAGG